AGUGAACGCUGGCGGUAGGCCUAACACAUGCAAGUCGAACGGCAGCACAGUAAGAGCUUGCUCUUACGGGUGGCGAGUGGCGGACGGGUGAGGAAUACAUCGGAAUCUACUUUUUCGUGGGGGAUAACGUAGGGAAACUUACGCUAAUACCGCAUACGACCUACGGGUGAAAGCAGGGGAUCUUCGGACCUUGCGCGAUUGAAUGAGCCGAUGUCGGAUUUGCUAGUUGGCGGGGUAAAGGCCCACCAAGGCGACGAUCCGUAGCUGGUCUGAGAGGAUGAUCAGCCACACCGGAGCUGAGACACGGUCCAGACACCCACGGGAGGGCGCAGUGGGGAAUAUUGGGCAAUGGGCGCAAGCCUGAUCCAGCCAUACCGCGUGGGUGAAGAAGGCCUUCGGGUUGUAAAGCCCUUUUGUUGGGAAAGAAAAGCAGCAGGUUAAUACCCCGCUGUUCUGACGGUACCCAAAGAAUAAGCACCGGCUAACUUCGU
rnacentral:rRNA from 1 species